AACCAUUAUUUUAACCACAAAAGAAUAAAUUAAAACCUAGGAUUGUUCAGAGGUUUCUGGUUUAUUUCAAGAUAUUUUCUUUUAAUGUUUGAGUCAAGUUAUCAAAGUUAUGCUUGCUAUUAAAAAAAAAGUUGUAUUCUUAUAAAACAAUAUUUAAAUCUAGGCUGUUGAAACACCAUAGUCAGGCUACUUCUUUUAUGAUUAAAUUAUAAGAUAAGAUAUUCACACAACACAGAAGACUCUUUAAAUUGCCUUAAGAGGGAAAAUUCAAUGUUUUGACAUAUUAUCUACUCUUCAGAUGUUCAACUCUUGCCAAGGCAAGUUUAAUGCCCAGGCCUUCUCAUUUUUUGGUACAGCUAUCCUCCUGGAUUGUUUUCCAACCAGCUACUCAAAAGUCGUAUUGCUAUUUUAGCAAAUUACUUUUUCUUUGUUAAUUAUCUGCUUUAUACAUUCAUCUCCAAGAGGGAAAGAACUAGUUUAUUCAUCUUCCAAUCAAUGAAGCUUAAUAAAGUGCUCUGUGUAUAGCAAGCAUAUAGACACAGAAAAUCUGCCAGAUGGCUGCAAAAAACAAACGGGCUAAAUUUUACUUCGUGUAUUUCAAAAUUCAGAGAAAAACAGUACUCUUAAAAGGCAUAGACCAAAAAUAGAUCAUUGCAGAUUGAGUACAAAGAACCAUUCUAUUUCUUCAUC
rnacentral:lncRNA from 1 species